UUCCUGAAGGACUAGUGGUUAGGCCUCGGUGUUCUAACUGCUGUGGCCCGGGUUCAAUUCCCGGCCAGGGAA
rnacentral:tRNA from 1 species